rnacentral:tRNA from 1 species
GGAGGGAUGGCCGAGCGGACGAAGGCGUUAGUCUUGAAAACUAAUGUAUGUAUUCCAUACCGUGGGUUCGAAUCCCACUCCCUCCGC